rnacentral:rRNA from 1 species
UACGUAGGCAGCAAGCGUUGUUCGGAGUUACUGGGUUUAAAGGGUGUGUAGGCGGGCUGGUAAGUCAGGGGUGAAAUCCCGGAGCUCAACUCCGGAACUGCCUUUGAUACUACUGGUCUUGAAUAUUGUUGAGGUAGGCGGAAUGUGUCAUGUAGCGGUGAAAUGCAUAGAUAUGACACAGAACACCGAUUGCGAAGGCAGCUUACUGGGCAAUGAUUGACGCUGAGGCACGAAAGCGUGGGGAUCAAACAGG